GUCUGUCCCACUGGUUGACCAUCAAUAUGAGGAAGAAUAGAGGAUAUUGCAGAUCUAUGGACAUUAACUGUUCUGUAUUGAAAACCCUUUUGGAACAUCCAUGCCAAAAAGUCUAGAACAGCAGUUAGAGGUGCUGAAAAGGGAUCAACUUCCCGUUCCAAACACCAGCUAACCCACUUAUUCCAGGCCGAAUCGUAAGAUUUCUGAGUUCCUUUCCCCCAGGAGCUGAGCAAAAGUUUUUUUAACUUCCUCUGAUAUUGACAUUGUUUGAUAUGAUCUCCUGAGACAAGCCACCCGA
rnacentral:lncRNA from 1 species